GCGCGCGGCAGCGAGGUGGCUGCGGGUCCGGCUGCGUGAGGGAUGGCUCCUCUCCCGCCUGAGGGCGGAGAGGGAUGGAGCCUGGCAACAGCCUCACAGAAUCACAGAGUACCCUGAGUUUGAAGGGACCCACAAGGAUCAUCGAGCUCCUGGCCCUGCACAGGAUGCCCCAACUACAGGCAGGAUAGGGUUAACAGGUGGAUGUAGAAGGACGUCUCAGCUAGUCUGCUCCCUUCUGCAAGUCAGCUACUAUGAGGGAAGAAGCCAAAGGAGGGAAGCAAGACUUCUUUUAAGAGAAGGACUUUUUCACCUCAACACUUUUUUCUCCCCUCAGGUGCUGUGAUCAGAAGGGCUUUCUUUCCUUUCUAUCCAAAACAAAUAGGAGACUAGAGAAGUCCAUAACCCAGAAUCUAUAUCACUAAAACAAAAUCUUUGCUUUCCAGGACUACCACUUUGGCAUGUAUCAUGAGUGCAAAACGUAAUUAAAUUAACAAACUGCUCUGCAUGGUAAAGGUGGUCUUUUAUCCAUCUUUUCUAUCUUAAUUCUUCACUUUCUGGUCACAUUUACAGUUUCAACUGUCCUGGCAGCUGCUAUUCAUUUGUUGCCUGCCUCAUAAUUUUUUAUGACUUCUGUUUGUUUUUAACUUUGGUUCCAUCCUCGUUUUUUCAAUGUAAAAUCUCUGCUUUCCAUAACAGGAAUAAACAAACGUAUUUUUCUCCUUGGGUGUGAAGAAAAAGUAAAACACAAACCUGCAAAAAAUUAAAAGACAAAUCUCACUGUUUUAAAGCUAAACGAUGUAUGUCUCUGUGCACAAACAAUAAGUACAUUCAUAUGUGUGUACCUGUGCUGGUAUGAAUUUUUUGCCAGGAAAAAUUAGAGUCUUUCUCAGUGAAUGAAAUUAGUGGUAUCAGUUUAAUAAUCUCACAGUCUAUUGCAACCUACAGACAUUUAUAGGUAGUUAUUGAAGCUUUGUUUAAAAAACAAAAAGAAAAGAAAAGAAAAAAGCUAAGAGAAAAAAAUUACAGAAGACCGCUGAAAAAGACAUUUUAAAAAGUUUUUAAAGUGGUUUAUCGCCCAACUUUUUCAGAUUCCAACGUGUCUGACUAGAUAAGUAAAUUAGGUGAGGCAAAAGAAGAGAAACAUGUUUAGGAUAAACAUAUUUGACAAUAAAAUGGAAGAAAUUUCAAUCAGAAAUGCCACUUUAUAAUACUUUCUCAUAUUAAUAACCUUGCAUUUCUAGGUUCUCAGAUACUGCCACAGAGGCAGAUGGGAAGAGUAUUUUUCAUCUUGAAGAGUCCUGAAGCACUUGGAAGAGGCAGUGAUGAACGUCCAGGGCCAUUGCCUGUGCUCUGACGUAGUGCUGGCUGGAAGUGAUGGGUGUCUAUACUGCCACACACCUUCAGCCAGUAAAGCUGAAAGAGGCCUUUCCCUGUAGAGCAGAUGCAGAGCUAGAUAAGGACAUUUUCCUGUUUUACUUUCUGCUGCCACUUCUAUGUGUCCUUCAGGGCACUUGACAUUUGUGGAAACAUCCAUACUAAAUGAUAAAUGCAACCACCAUGGGCUGUUGCGCAUGAGUCAGGUAGUUCAUGACUCACAGCUACCCUCUCUUGAUCUGACCCCUGCAGAGUGGUCCAUCCAUGUCCCAGCUGGUCCAUCUCUUCUCUCUUCUAAGCUUCAGUGACCAUCCCUGUGGCCAAAAUAUAUGAUUAUUCAUGUUUUUUCCAGCUCAAAGUGCCUGUAGCACUUUGAUGUUGUAGCAGACUAUGCUGGCUCAGGUUUUCAAGAGAAGUUUUGGUUGCCCUAUCCCUGGAAAUGUUUAAGGCCAGGUUGGAUGGAGCUUGAAGCAACCUGGUGUAGUGGAAGGUGUCCCUGGCCACGGCAGAGGAGGAGGAGGAGGAGGAGGUUGGAAAUAGAGUAUCCUUAAGAUACCUUCCAAUCCAAACCAUUCUGUGGUUCUAUGAUCGUACAAUAUGAGGGUUGUUUUACUGCCUGUGGGAAGGUUUUUGUGAUGUGACAGCUAGGGCACAUCAUGAGAGCACUUUGUGGUGGUUGCAUGUUUCUGGUUUUGGCCUCUUGAAGUAGAGCAGGAUUAUUCCAAGUGGUGCAUUUCAAAUGAGGCACAUCAGUUCUCCUGUUUCUGAUCUGCAGCACACCCUUAAGCAAACUCUCCUGGCAGCUCUGCUUGGGUUUCUUGUUUAAGUAGACUAAUAAAUAUAUGCCACAUGGGACCCUAAGAGUGAACUAGUAUGCAACUACAUAUAUUUUGAUAGCAGGAAGACGUUCUGGAAGCAGAACACAAUGCUCCAAGUUCAUUGUGAAGCAAAUUCUGACCUUGGUUGUGUCAAAAGAAGAGGGGGCAUCUGUCUCUUGUAGGCUUUGGGUGAAACUGAGAGUGAUAUGAGGGACUAUUAGGACAUGCUGGUGGCCAGUCCUCCUGCUUUUGGCCCACAACCCCUUUUCAGAGGGUUCUGUGUCCAAGCAGUGCCAUAGAAAUCAGACUCCUGCUCUUCCUGAAGACCACAGCCCUUCCUGACCCAGCCAUGGAUUCCACUGAGGCAAUUCCUGCUCUUAGACUAAUGUUUCAUCCCCACAGAGGUGCCUGAUGCCCCAGUCUGGACCUGCCCUCACAGCAAGUCUUCCCUUCUUUCUGGUGGAUGCAGUGGGAAAUGUCCUGGCUUUCUGCCCCAGGAUAGCCUAAAAACAUGAUCAUGACACACCAAUUUAAUUCAGAAUAUGUAAAUGUUUACAAUUUCUUUGGAAAAAAGUACACAAAUAUUUUUUUUUGUUUUUUUUUCUCAUGAAGAUUAUAAGUAACUGGCUAGCUACACCUAGAUUUAGUUACUUGCUGAUAUUAUGCCAUUCUUGUCAUUGGAAAAAAUACAGCAAGCAUGAGAUUGCACUCUUCAUUGCUCUGCUCAUGCAUUAGAAUCUCCCCUACCCCCCUUCUGUUUUUCAGUCUGAUAGUUUGUCAGCUCCCAGAAGUCUGAUGAGUUGAAGCAUUGAGAAAACAGUGGGAGCAAUAGAGAGGUCUGCUGCUGACACAAUUCUCUUUGGAGGGAAUGGAGCUAUUUUUCUUGUUUUGAAGCAGAAGUGUCACUUGCAGUUCACAUUCAACUGAUAGCCACAGAGAAAUAUGUAACCUCUCAAUCCCACCAAGAAAUAUACACCAUCAUCCAGAAGACAACACUGAUUCCUCAUACACCAUCUACUUUCUGCUGGUGGGACUUCCACGAUAGGGAAGAGGACUCAUCAGAUGUCCAGCCAUGUCCCACAUUGUUUAUAAAGACUUGCAGCAAAGUUCUUGAAAGUAGCUGUGUUGUCAGACUCAUUUUAUCUUUCCUGAAUGUGGACAUCUGUCCACUAAAAACUGGACUGAGACAACUAGGAACUGUACAUAACCCUUAGUGCAUCUGUCAGACGAUAAUGACUUUCACUCACUAAUGAACUGGAACAAAACUGACUUGGCAACUGGUUUUUUUCCCUCUAGUAAUAUCCUAAGAAAGACUUUACAUGCUGGAUGUACAGCAGAGAGAGCUUCUGCUAUUCAAAUAUCACAGUGGUGUCAGGUUUUCAGACCCACAGUGAAGGGGUGGUUAGCACAUGGUUAUUGUAAACUGCCUACUGGGUUAAGAAUGAAGUUUUAGAAAAGAACACCCUUCCCCUUUCCCUUCCCCCUCCCCUUUCCCUUCCCCUUCCCCAUUUUUGAGUAAAAUUCAAACCUUGUUUUAUCACUUGGGUCAAAAAGUGAUUCUUCUCACAGUUCUAGCCUUGGAACAAAGCUAUCCUUGUAAUGUGGAAAAUGCAGAUGUAGAUGAUAGAGAGCAGGGAGUAGAUAUCCAAGAUCUAAGAGUGUUCACAAGCAGUAUAUACUCUGCAGAGAGCUGAGGCUCUGACAAAGGUCACCCCAUGGAUCCUGAUCCAGAAAAAACAAAGCAAUGCAUGAAGUUCUAACUGAAGACACAGAACACCAAUUGCUUUGAUUUGUAGAAUUUUACCUAUCACUUUCCACCCAAAUUUAUGUUUUACUCUUUUUUCGUGGCUAAGCAGUACCAUCUAGUGUAUGCCUAGCCUAUUCUUAUUAAGUGACCCUAUGAGUAAACAAACUCUCUAAGUUCUUGUUUCCACAGCCUUCUGGCCAAAAUCAUUCCUUGUGCUCAAAUGAACCCAGGACUGGCCAGCAUCUCUUAUCUCUUCACCCACUCAGUCCCAUCCUUUGCUGUUACCAGCACCAACUGUUCAGGCUGUCUCAGCAAGUUCCACUUUACAAGCUCCACUGAGACCACGAGAUGGGUGUGCUAACUCCUCGUUUCAUCACAUCAGCUGGAUAUGAAGCACUGGACUUCUUUAAACAUUUAAUUUCCAUUGAAAUGACAACAAAGCUGUGGACUUCCCUUUCAUUAUAGAAUAAACUUCUGAAAUAACUCUUUGGAGGAGUCCCCGCACUCAUUCCUCUCUGUAUAACUUGAACUCAAUAAAGUUGCACUAGGGAAGAGUUUGGCCCAUUAA